rnacentral:rRNA from 1 species
CCUACGGGUGGCACCAGUGGGGAAUUUUGGACAAUGGGCGCAAGCCUGAUCCAGCCAUGCCGCGUGCAGGAUGAAGGCCUUCGGGUUGUAAACUGCUUUUGUACGGAACGAAAAGGUUCUUUCUAAUAAAGAGAGCCCAUGACGGUACCGUAAGAAUAAGCACCGGCUAACUACGUGCCAGCAGCCGCGGUAAUACGUAGGGUGCAAGCGUUAAUCGGAAUUACUGGGCGUAAAGCGUGCGCAGGCGGUUAUGUAAGACGGAUGUGAAAUCCCCGGGCUCAACCUGGGAACUGCAUUUGUGACUGCAUAGCUAGAGUACGGCAGAGGGGGAUGGAAUUCCGCGUGUAGCAGUGAAAUGCGUAGAUAUGCGGAGGAACACCGAUGGCGAAGGCAAUCCCCUGGGCCUGUACUGACGCUCAUGCACGAAAGCGUGGGGAGCAAACAGGAUUAGAUACCCUAGUAGUC